rnacentral:rRNA from 1 species
UACGUAGGGUGCGAGCGUUAAUCGGAAUUACUGGGCGUAAAGCGUGCGCAGGCGGUCUGUUAAGACCGAUGUGAAAUCCCCGGGCUUAACCUGGGAACUGCAUUGGUGACUGGCAGGCUUUGAGUGUGGCAGAGGGAGGUAGAAUUCCACGUGUAGCAGUGAAAUGCGUAGAGAUGUGGAGGAAUACCGAUGGCGAAGGCAGCCUCCUGGGCCAACACUGACGCUCAUGCACGAAAGCCGUGGGGGAGCAAACAGG